rnacentral:rRNA from 1 species
GUGGGGAAUUUUGGACAAUGGGCGCAAGCCUGAUCCAGCAAUGCCGCGUGUGUGAAGAAGGCCUUCGGGUUGUAAAGCACUUUUGGCAGGAAAGAAAUAGUGCGUGCUAAUACCAUGCGCGAAUGACGGUACCUGCAGAAUAAGCACCGGCUAACUACGUGCCAGCAGCCGCGGUAAGACGUAGGGUGCAAGCGUUAAUCGGAAUUACUGGGCGUAAAGCGUGCGCAGGCGGUUUUGUAAGACAGGUGUGAAAUCCCCGGGCUCAACCUGGGAACUGCACUUGUGACUGCAAGGCUAGAGUGUGUCAGAGGGAGGUGGAAUUUCGCGUGUAGCAGUGAAAUGCGUAGAGAUGCGGAGGAACACCGAUGGCGAAGGCAGCCUCCUGGGAUAACACUGACGCUCAGGCACGAAAGCGUGGGGAGCAAACAGGAUUAGAAACCCGGGUAGUCC